CAAUUAGGUUCUUCAGCUAAUUAUUGGAUCUUAUAAAUGAUUCUUCAAAAAACAGCUACAAUGAUUAGGUUGUGCCUUUAUACGGAGCUCUGAGAAAGGAUUUCCAUGCAGCAAGAGGAGAAUCGCCAUGUGGAUUGCAAUUUCUUCUCUUCGGUGAGGGGAAGGGUCUGCAGCUCAUCUGUAUCAGUUCAACUUUACCACCAAGCCAGCUGGACAUAGGACACUUGUUCAUCUGUCCACAAGCAUAUCAGGAACUGGGGGCUCAUUUCUGGCAGCAGGUCAGAGGUAACAGGGUUCUCCUGCUGCGUGAGAAACUGUGUGGAUGAAUACAAGUGACACUAAGGGCAGGCAUCGUUCUCAUAAUGCGUGUCUUACAAGUGUUGGAGGUAGUCACUAUAACAACAGCGCCUCAAAUUUGUGUCCACUUGAACUGCUCCGUCUCUGUAAUCGCCGAGCAAGAAUGAGCAGGAAAGAAAAAGUAGCGAUUAAGCCAAAGAAGUGCCGAGUUUAUGCAAGCAAAACUGACCCAGCUGAUGCCAAGAGGAGCUGGAGAGCAGCAGCCCGUGCCCCACGCCUGCUCCGCGGAGCCCCGCGGGGAUGGGGCUGCGGUGCCCGGCUCCUGUCUGACUCGUUCUGCUCCCCUCCUGCUCCCUGCCUGCACAGCCGCAAGUUGCAGCUGCAGAAAGUGGGUCCAGCCCGGCUGCCGCGGGAGGCUGAGCCGCGCGCAUGUGUGCGCUCGCACUGCCGGGAAGAGCUCGCCCAGCUGAAGUCCUUGAGCUUUGAGUGA
rnacentral:lncRNA from 1 species